UACGUAGGGUGCAAGCGUUAUCCGGAAUUAUUGGGCGUAAAGAGCUCGUAGGCGGUUUGUCGCGUCUGCUGUGAAAACUGGGGGCUCAACCCCCAGCCUGCAGUGGGUACGGGCAGACUAGAGUGCGGUAGGGGAGAUUGGAAUUCCUGGUGUAGGGUGGAAUGCGCAGAUAUCAGGAGGAACACCGAUGGCGAAGGCAGAUCUCUGGGCCGUAACUGACGCUGAGGAGCGAAAGCAUGGGGAGCGAACAGG
rnacentral:rRNA from 1 species